rnacentral:rRNA from 1 species
AAAUGACUCUCGGCAACGGAUAUCUCGGCUCUCGCAUCGAUGAAGAACGUAGCGAAAUGCGAUACUCAGAAUCCCGUGAACCAUCGAGUUUUUGAACGCAAGUUGCGCCCGAAGCCUUUUGGCCAGGGCACGUCUGCCUGGGCGUCACAC